GCCUUCCCGUUGGUCUGAGGGUAUCCAGGAGACAAAGUCUUGUGCUCGAGCUCCCAUAGCUGACUGAAACGGAGGAACUCUUGCGACGUGUACUGUGGCCCAUUGUCCGAAAACAGACGAUACGGCACGCCUUGCCUAGAAAAGUAAGCCUUAAACUUCUGUAUUACAAUACUUGACUUUGUAUCAGGUAGGUAAUCAUCUUCCCAAAAGUUAGAGUACUAGUCAACUGUGAUGAGUUAGUUUUUAUUGUCAAAGGUAAACAAAUCUGUACAAACCUUGGCCCAUGGUCUACCUUCUACCUCAUGUGGAUGUAGGGUCUCUUUUUGUUGUUUUGUGUCAACUGAUCUGCAUAUGUCACAUUUCAGUACAAAAGUCUUUAUCUGUUCAUUCAUUCCAGGCCAGUAGACACAUUCUCUUGCAUGCCUGAGGCAUGCCUCCACCCCCAGGUGAGAGGAGUGAAUCCGGUGGGUGACAUCUCUUUGUAGGGAGUACAGGAUGACAGCUCUCUCCCCUCUGAAGAAGAUGCCAUCCUGCACACUCAGUUCCUCCUGGAAUGAGUAGUAGUGCAUCAUAUCCCU